GCGGGCAGCUUAACAUGCAAGUCGAACGGCAGCAUGGAGGAGCUUGCUCCUCUGAUGGCGAGUGGCGAACGGGUGAGUAAAGCAUCGGAACGUACCGUGUAGUGGGGGAUAACGUAGCGAAAGUUACGCUAAUACCGCAUACGCACUGAGGUGGAAAGCGGGGGAUCGUAAGACCUCGCGCUAUACGAGCGGCCGAUGUCAGAUUAGCUAGUUGGUAGGGUAAAGGCCUACCAAGGCGACGAUCUGUAGCGGGUCUGAGAGGAUGAUCCGCCACACUGGGACUGAGACACGGCCCAGACUCCUACGGGAGGCAGCAGUGGGGAAUUUUGGACAAUGGGGGCAACCCUGAUCCAGCCAUGCCGCGUGAGUGAAGAAGGCCUUCGGGUUGUAAAGCUCUUUCGGCUGGGAAGAAAUCGCACAGGCCAAUACCCUGUGUGGAUGACGGUACCAGCAUAAGAAGCACCGGCUAACUACGUGCCAGCAGCCGCGGUAAUACGUAGGGUGCGAGCGUUAAUCGGAAUUACUGGGCGUAAAGCGUGCGCAGGCGGUUAGAUAAGUUUGAUGUGAAAUCCCCGGGCUCAACCUGGGAACUGCAUUGAAGACUGUCUGACUAGAGUACGGCAGAGGGGGGUGGAAUUCCACGUGUAGCAGUGAAAUGCGUAGAGAUGUGGAGGAACACCGAUGGCGAAGGCAGCCCCCUGGGUCGAUACUGACGCUCAUGCACGAAAGCGUGGGGAGCAAACAGGAUUAGAUACCCCUGGUAGCCCACGCCCCUAAACGAUGUCAACUAGUUGUUGGUAGGGGUUA
rnacentral:rRNA from 1 species